CUUCUAACCUCUCACAUCUUUCUCUUUCAAAAACUUAGGAGUCCAAGAGAAUCUCACAUUCAUUGGUUCAUCUUCCUUCUAACGUCUAAAAGGCUACGAUUUCUCGGUAGGUUCGUGAAUUCUCACGGUUUUGCUGAAUAGCCGAGAUAGAUUUCAUACAGAUGUUAGAUAUUGGUGAAAGAUGUGUAUUGGACAAUGAAUCAAAUGAACAAGAACCUGCUCAUGGAAGCCAAGGCAAAGCAAACACUCCGAGUAGACAGAAUAUGAGAAUUGAUGAAGUACCAAAAAUUGGUAUAAAAUUUGAUUGUGACGAUAGUGCAUAUGAAUUCUACAAAGAAUGUGCUCACCGAAUAGGCUUUAGUGUAAGGAAACAUUUAGUGAAGUAAGCAAAUUCAGGACUUGUUAAAAGGAGAACAUUUUGCUGCUCGAAGGAGGGUAAACGAGUUGUUGACAAACGGCAAAAAGAAGUGUUUUUUCAUCACCCAGUUUCACGUGUGGGGUGUUUAGCACAAAUGACUUGUCAACUUCAAAAGGAUGGUAUGUUAGAAGUUGUUUACUUUCGUGAGCAACAUAAUCAUGAGUUUGCAUCUUCUCCAAUGAAACAUAUGUUAAGAUCAUCAAGACAAAUUACACUUGCUCAAAAAGAUGCAAACGUUGGUGCUAUCAAGGACUAUCGUGGCAUUGAUACUAAUGCUAAUUCUCAAGAGUUAAUAGGAAAGCGUACUCCCACUUAAGUCACAUAUUUCAUGAAAUUUCCACACUUGUAGCUGAGAAUGAGAUGAUGUAUGAAUUUGCUUAUAGAUGUUUUAAAAGAUUGUUGAAGGAUUUGCUGGAAAUGAGAAAAAGAUGUUAUUUUAGUGGUGUGGAGAGUCAACUAGAGGUUGAAAGUGAAGUUGAUAAUAGGUUUGAGUCCAAUGAGGAUGUAGCGUCGCAAGCCAUACAUGGCAUUAAAACAAAAGCUACAAUUGGACAUCCAAAAAGAAGGUUGAAAGGUUCACUAGAAAGACGAACCAAAACAACACUGACUUCUAGCUGUAUUUGUGACUUACAACAACAUGCUCGUAGUGCAAGACAAGUUCAAUCAACUGAAUGUUUCAGUGAAGAUUCCUCUGUUGACAUCAAUUCGUAGCAAGAGCAUGGUAAUGUCGGACAAGAAUUUCAAUUGUUGGAUAACUUGACUCAGAAAUUUAUAAGUGUGUGAUUUACUCGAAGAUCAAGCUGCAAAGAAAGCACCAUGGAUGUUCUGUUAAUAACCAAACCAUCGAAAAGGUGGGACCAAAAAAAUGUAGAUUACAAAUGUCAGCUAAAAUGAUUCCC